AACGAACGCUGGCGGCAUGCCUAACACAUGCAAGUCGAACGAGACCUUCGGGUCUAGUGGCGCACGGGUGCGUAACGCGUGGGAACCUGCCCUUAGGUUCGGAAUAACUCCCCGAAAGGGGUGCUAAUACCGGAUAAUGUCUUCGGACCAAAGAUUUAUCGCCUUUGGAUGGGCCCGCGUUGGAUUAGCUAGUUGGUAGGGUAAAAGCCUACCAAGACGACGAUCCAUAGCUGGUCUGAGAGGAUGAUCAGCCACACUGGGACUGAGACACGGCCCAGACUCCUACGGGAGGCAGCAGUGGGGAAUAUUGGACAAUGGGCGAAAGCCUGAUCCAGCAAUGCCGCGUGAGUGAUGAAGGCCUUAGGGUUGUAAAGCUCUUUUACCCGGGAUGAUAAUGACAGUACCGGGAGAAUAAGCUCCGGCUAACUCCGUG
rnacentral:rRNA from 1 species